rnacentral:rRNA from 1 species
UACGUAGGCAGCGAGCGUUGUUCGGAGUUACUGGGCGUAAAGGGUGUGUAGGCGGUUGUUUUAAGUUUGGUGUGAAAUCUCCCGGCUCAACUGGGAGGGUGCGCCGAAUACUGAAUGACUAGAGUGCGGGAGAGGAAAGUGGAAUUCCUGGUGUAGCGGUGAAAUGCGUAGAUAUCAGGAGGAACACCGGUGGUGUAGACGGCUUUCUGGACCGUAACUGACGCUGAGGCACGAAAAGCGUGGGGGAGCGAACAGG